GCCUCUGCUUCCCCCGCGGCGCCUAGGGAGGGAGGGGUCGCGGGGUUUUGCAGAGGACU
ensembl:miRNA bta-mir-12025 bta-mir-12025